rnacentral:lncRNA from 1 species
CAGUCAUUAUCCAUUUUCAUUUUAUAAGAAACUGCAUAAUUCGCAUAAGCAAGCUAAACAACCACCAUUUUGUAGAAACAGAAACAUUUACAAUGAAAAUAUCUGCAGGCCAACCAGUCAUAACUGGAGUAUGCAUGAAGAUAGGUAUAAGGGUGAAAUAACCAAGAACUCUACUACACCCCCUCAGAAGAACCAGAGGUAUCAGCUACCAUAUUUGUCUGUAUAUCCAAUAUUCCAGCCUCAACACCUUUCCUUGAAAAUCUAG